rnacentral:rRNA from 1 species
AGGAGAGUUUGAUCAUGGCUCAGAACGAACGCUGGCGGCGUGCUUAACACAUGCAAGUCGAACGAGAAAGUUCCUUCGGGGACGAUUAGAGUGGCGCACGGGUGAGUAAUACAUAGGAACGUACCAUUCGGUGGGGAAUAACCACGGGAAACUGUGGCUAAUACCGCAUAAUAUCGCAAGAUUAAAGGGGGCCUCUGCAUAUGCUCUCGCCGAUUGAUCGGCCUAUGUCCCAUUAGCUUGUUGGUAGGGUAAUGGCCUACCAAGGCAGUGAUGGGUAGCUGGUCUGAGAGGAUGAUCAGCCACACUGGGACUGAGACACGGCCCAGACUCCUACGGGAGGCAGCAGUGGGGAAUCUUGCACAAUGGGCGAAAGCCUGAUGCAGCAACGCCGCGUGAGUGAAGAAGGCCCUUGGGUUGUAAAGCUCUUUCGACUAGGAAGAAGGGUGCAGCGAUUAAUACCCGCAGCAUUUGACGGUACUAGCAGAAGAAGCACCGGCUAAUUCCGUGCCAGCAGCCGCGGUAAUACGGAAGGUGCAAGCGUUGUUCGGAUUGACUGGGCGUAAAGCGCACGUAGGCGGGUUUGUAAGUCGGAUGUGAAAGCCCCGGGCUUAACCUGGGAACUGCACCCGAAACUAC